UCUCCGUUAGUAUAUCGGUUAGUACACGCGCCUGUCAUUGAUUGCUUAUCAAUACGCGCGAAAGCUGGGUUCGACUCCCAGACGGAGAG
rnacentral:tRNA from 2 species